rnacentral:rRNA from 1 species
GACGAACGCUGGCGGCGUGCUUAACACAUGCAAGUCGAACGGAAAGGCCCUGCUUUUGUGGGGUGCUCGAGUGGCGAACGGGUGAGUAACACGUGAGUAACCUGCCCUUGACUUUGGGAUAACUUCAGGAAACUGGGGCUAAUACCGGAUAGGAGCUCCUGCUGCAUGGUGGGGGUUGGAAAGUUUCGGCGGUUGGGGAUGGACUCGCGGCUUAUCAGCUUGUUGGUGGGGUAGUGGCUUACCAAGGCUUUGACGGGUAGCCGGCCUGAGAGGGUGACCGGCCACAUUGGGACUGGGAUACGGCCCAGACGCCUACGGGAGGCAACAGUGGGGAAUAUUGCACAAUGGGCGGAAGCCUGAUGCAGCAACGCCGCGUGCGGGAUGACGGCCUUCGGGUUGUAAACCGCUUUCGCCUGUGACGAAGCGUGAGUGACGGUAAUGGGUAAAGAAGCACCGGCUAACUACGU